UUACGGUUUCUGAAACGAGAAUCGUGAUAGCCCCCCUGAGAAGGUGCAAUUGGUGUUGCAAAAGCGAAUUGGUAUUUAAUCAACGAGAUUCAGAGACGGAAGCACAAGCCCAGGAUGAUCCUUCCCGAGAAAGCAGUCUCCGUACUUCGUCUGGAACCAAGAUUCAUAACUCCAGCGAUUAGAACCUGUUCGGAUGCACUCAAAUGCAAAGUUUGUCGUGCCAUGAGAUAUUUUCCUCCUGAACAAUGCAGUAUGGUCAAUGUUAAAGUGAUCGGGUGUUUACUGUUUGUAUGUGAUGGCGACACACUAUAGUUAUACCGGUGAUUCAAGAACAGAUUUGAAUAUUCCAUCUGCGACUUGCUCUCUUUGGCGAAAGGAUAUUUCUUGAUGCAUUCGACUUUAUUUGAUAAUCUAACGAGUUUGUAUGAAAAUGUCUUAGAAGUAUGGGAGAACAUACAGAGGAAUGCCAUUGAAAUGCAUGCUCAAGAUAAAAUUAUACUGAGUCCUGCGGAUAGUUGGUUACAUUUGUAGACUCGACGCAAUUAGAAACAUAUCUAAACCACAGUAGGACAAAGGAUAAAAAAUUUGAUCAAGAUCUUAUGAUUCUGCGAUAAAGAAUGCGAUGUUUUCCUCCAAAAAUGCACUCCAUCAACGUUGCCAAACCAGCAACGUUGAUGGAGUGCAUUUCUUAGGGUAUGAUUUCUGGAGUAGAAUAUCUGUCAGAAGGGAAUAGAGUCAAUUAUGAUAAAUAUACUAAUCAUGAUUUAUUCUAACCAUGUUUUAAUCUGAAACUGUACAUAAUAAAAUUCCCAUUAUGCAAAAUACCUUGUACCAUACAAAAAAAUCUAUUUGUAAUACAGGUAAAAUUAUAUUGUUACUGCAAAGAGCUAUUGUUACAAUUGUAUAAUCAAUAAAUCUUCCAUUUAAU